ensembl:lncRNA
AGUUACCAAUGUAGUAUGAAUCUUGAACAAAUGACUCUUAAGACCCAGUUCUUUAUAGAGAAUCAAAAACCUAAAGUGUGACCAGUGAAGUCUGAAUCUUUUACAAAUGAUUGUAAUAGGCUUAUAACCACAUUUUAAUUGGUUUAGCAGUUUUAUUUCAUAUGUAGUUAGAGCCAGUUUUUAGAUUGCAUUUAUAGUGAAGGAUGUGAAGAGUCAUUAAGCCUUUGUAAACAUAGUUUGCAAGAAUUGUUUUAAACUUAGAUUUGUUGAAAUCUGAAAUUAUGCCGUCAGUUGUCAACAGAAAUCUCAAGAAUUAUUUUUUUCUAAAUAUUUAUUCCUCAGAAGUACUUAAAUAAUUAAUUAAUGGAAACAUUACAAAGAAUCGAGACCUAGAUUCCCAUUGCUGUUUACGGAAAGUUUAUUUUUUUGUAAAUCCCAAUGCGUGCAUCUGGGAAGUCUUGUACGUAACGUUAACAUAAAUCAGGCUACAGGAAUGUGUAUCAAGGAAAUAAAUACCAUUUAUUUUGAAUCCAAGUCUCCAUUUUGUCUCCUUACAUUAUUUCUCUCUAGGAGACCCGACUGAGACGAUAAAGAGUUCUCAUUUGUGACUUUUCCUUUCCUCUGGCUUGUUGUGUUCCUGAUAGUUCAUCAGGCAUUUCCUGGACUUCCUAGUUUCUUGGCCCAGUCUAGCUGUGAGUACACCUGCUCCGCUCGGAGAUUCAGCUCGCUUUCCCAUGACGGCUGGAGUCAAUUAACGGCUCAGAAAAACCACCGUGUUGAGGUGAAUUUAGAUGCAACUGUCUGCCGAGUGAAGGAAAAGAGCCCAGCGCUGCAGUGACAGCUGUCUUCACCGUGUGGGUUAGAAACAAGGGGAACGUGUUGUGAAUCACUCAUGGGAUUUGGCCCAGCAUUCCCGUAACGUUGGAAAAUAGGCUUAAAAAUGCUGUUUUUGGCAUGGAGCAGCAGACUCCAAAAUGUUUGAAAAAUGGCUUCCUCCUUAAAGUAGACGAUAAUCUCACGCCAAACGGUCAAUCUCUCCAUCUUCUAGCGUCAUCGGCUGCCUUUCUGGUUAGUCAUGUUUGUUUGCAUCUGUUUAUUCAUGUCUGGCUGUAGUUUGGUCUUCUUUCAUAGGGAGGGGGCUCUUGAGAACGAGAGGUGAAAGCAGGCUGCUAUCAGAUCCAGUCUGAAGUGGAUGUAUUUGGUUUCAUUUGUGUUUUGAGACUAGAGCAAGUCCAGACUUCCAGCUCUUAUCCAAAAUGAUAGCCGAGCAAUAAAUUUGACAGUUUUUUGAUGACUCGAUGGGAA